GCCUUAUUGCUUAAUUGUAAAAGGGAAUAGGUCAAAGCAACAAAGCAAAAUUCAACAGCUCAGAGAAACCCCUCGAUCCGAGCCAUACAUUCACAUGAAUAAUGGUUACUGCUAAAGUCUGAGACACACCGUGAGACUGGUUUUCACAAGACCACAAUGAACUGCCUUCAGCACAUCAAGGAGACCCUGCUACACUAUAGAUGGCAGGAAGCUGCUGAGUACACGAACACUGGAGGACAUGCCACAACAACGCUGAGAUCAUUUGAAGGACAAGCACAGAUACACCACCGUCCCAUCUUGAAGCUGGAAGACCACAACAGUUUCUAUGCGCUACUAGAGAUCUAUGCGGGAGUGAAACAUUACCUGAAGUAAAUCUGUCUGGAGCACUCGUUUCACCUCCUGGUGAACGGGCAGUUUGAGGACGUCCAUCGCUGAGAGCUGGAGGUACGGCAAGCAGUCAGCCGAUCAGUCCCAGCGGAUUAAGCUGAUCCAGUCCUACAGUGGCUUCCUGGAUUACUUCAUCUGGUGUGGGGGGAGAAAAAAAGUCCACCGUCUCCAGCACUGAUGAGUAUGAUGGUGUCACUCAAGAGAUGCACAGCUACUUCCGCCAAUCCUCUGUGAACCGGAAGGAUAUCAUGAAACUUCCUGGGGUCUGGGAUCCUUUUGUUCUGAGUUACAUUAAUAUGCUGGAAUUCUACAACGAUCACGAGGGAGCUGUGAAGGUUCUGAAUGACUAUGCCUAUGACAACAGUUUGCCUCCCCAAUGCCCAUGUCUACCUCUACCGGUACAUGAAGAAAUUCAACCACCCAUCAAAUAAACUGCUCAGUGCUCAAGGUAGGACUGAGGCCAUAGUUUGUGUUCUUGACAAAGUUAUCUAGCAGAAAUGUUGAGCACUGGCCUCUGCUUGUUUUAAACAUUAUUUUGUAUUAAAUGAAAAUCGUCUAUUUUGUUUUUUUCUGAAGUAAGUCCUUUCCUUUUGUAUUGUAGGAAAGGCACCAAAGAGGGUGGGAAAUAUACUCACAAAACAUUGUUUAUUUAGCUGUAUGUUUACAGUUGGCAUAUUGAAUGUUAAAUUAAGCCACGGAAAAUGUUUGCCUAAGGUUGACCUCCCUAAAAAAAGUAAUUACAGUACUUUUGUGAGAUGAAAUUGCUAAGCUCUAGGCUACAGUUAGUCCUGCGCUCCUCUGCCCUUUCAAUAGCGUUCUAGUACAGUAAUGUUUUUAAUGAGUCCAUGUUUUCUAUUACAUUAGCCUUAGAUCUUGCAUACAUUGGUCCCAAGUCACGAGUUAAUGCUGGAAUACAGUUCUCUUCUGCUACAGUCCGUGUCUUAUCUACGGGAUCGGUGUCCCUCCACUGGGACAGUUGAGCUAACGUGCACUAAUGUGAUUAGCAUGACAUUAGAGAGUGAUCUUCAGAAGGCUCUAGGUGUUGUUCUGGACCUCCUGGACUUAUCCAGUUGGAGGAGAAACUUGGAUGUCUGGAACCAUUUGAUGACCAUCGUGAAGAGGCUGAGGCCCAGAAAACAAUGGCUGAAGAUUGUUGCAGAGGAGUUGGUGAACAGAAUGGACUGGUGGCUAGCAAUGUACUUCACAACAUUCCAGGCCAGGAGAGACUUGGCAGUGAAUGGGGUGCUACUGGAAGUGAAGUGCUUUGUGCUUGGAGCCUUUUGUCCUCGCUAUGCCUUCAUGUACCGUGGUGUAGGUAAAGGACACCCAAAAAUAAGUUACUUCCGAGGCGCAGAAGACUAAAAGGUCAGAGAAGGAUAAGGAAUCCAAGACGGCUAAUGCUCAGAAGAGAAUGCGGAAAGCAAAGCUGACUUUGAGAAAGCGUCUCGGAAUGCUGCUGGGCGCAUCGGCGAGAACCGAAACGUUUUAAAAAUAUGUGAAAACCUUCUACCAUUGCCUGAUCAUGGCAGACAUAACCUCCUCAUGUGGUCAUCGGGUCAUACUCUCUCCCCUUCCAUGACAGCUGCUCCAACUACACCCCCUCACUGCAGGCCUCACUCUCACUGCAGGCCUCACUCUCCUUGUAUUGCUUUACUUUACUUAUCAAGUUCUAUGAUUGUCCACCAGGGAGGGCUCACACGAUGGCUAAGUUUUGAGUCGUUCUGAAUGCUGCUGAGCCAGUAACUGAGAGCUGUGUUCACUGUGGUAGUUCGUAGGGAAAAAAGGAGUCUGGGUAUGCUGCAGUAUUAAGUCUAGGACACGGUACACAGCUCUCCCAACGGGUAGAUUGCAGCCAACAUGUAUGAGUAGCUCACCAAGCAAUUCUGAAAGUACAUGCAUGUUUUUCAUGUGUUCCCAUCGCAAACUUUCAUAAACAAGCUCCUGGCUACCAUUCAACCAAAACCACAUUGACAUUAUCCUACCCCUGGUUAGCCACUAUUGGCUUAAAAAGCCCAAAUUAACACUAAAUCUGCCAAUUUAUUUCUGGCAAUAUAUCCAUUUGCCUCAGUCUGUCUGCUUGGUACAUGCAUUUGUCUAUCUAUCACUCAGUAUGCUGCCAGUUAGCCGUGCUAGUAAUGAUAACCAUCUUGUGGGUAGAUAGACUUUCUGCAAAAACUCAAUUAAAUGGUAACUGCAAAGCAG